AAACUUCCCCCGUCUUUAAACAAACGGCCCUUUUCAGGGCCACCAAUUUAUUCUAGAAAAAAGGAAUUUGCUAAAUGCUAUAUUUCGCACAUUAUUUCGUUUCUGACUGAGAGAAAAACUCGAUUACAAAUUUUACAUGUUAUUGUACAGAUUUAUAAAUAUCUUAAUCAAUGUCUGAAUUCAGUAUCAGUUUAUGAUCCACCUUGUUAAUUCAGGCAACCUUGCCCACUCCCCCUUAGCUCUAGUUGAAAUUCAACAUGGUCGCCGUUUGGCUUGUUGUUUAUUGGUUGCGGGUGGUGUGACAGCGAUUCUGUCGAUAAUUCUCAUUCUCACUGAUUCGGAUUUUUUUUGUUUAUUUUUAAUGGAAAAUAGCACCAAUCACUAGCACGAAGUAUCUGGUAUUGCAUUUUACCACGACACCUUUCGACCAACUUGAAAAAGAACUUGAAUGGCUGUAAAGAAGAGUUUACACCAAUUGAGAAAUGGUUUUCUUCAUUCUGAAGAUAAUUCCUUCAGCUGAAUGUUUCAUGUGACCUCGUGACUUCUGGUCGCUUGUGACAAAAUAAUCCAAUUCAAGCUGUGUUUUCCAAAAUUUUAGGAAAUUCUAUUUGCGAGAACGCCAAUAUGUUCCAUCGGGAUAUUCGGCCACAUCAUCAACAAUCACAAGCUAUUCAAAUAUCUAUGCAUCACCUAUUUAUGUGCCUGAUCCCGUUUCACCCCCUUCACAAGUCAAUCAACCGGAGCCAGUGGAACGUUUGGAUUCAAAAGGAAGAGUUUCUCAGUUGGAAGAUCUAUAGCGGAUGCUGGAACUGCAGAAGAAGAUUCAGGAAUUGGAGAUCAGUUUGCAGGAAGCCAAAUCCAAACAGGCUGUUCCUCCCAGUGGAAUUAAGAGGCAGCAGGUCGUCAUCGACAAAUCGACAUCUGCAGCUAUUUCCACUAGAGCAAGAAGUCGAACUUAGUGUGUUCCUGAAAAGAAUCCUUCUAUCUCAUCGUCUGUCUCUUCUAAAAUUCUGAAUGAAAUUGAUCUUCUGCAAGUCCGAUUGAGCAAUGUGAUCGCCUCAACCGGAGCUGUCGUUGUCAACCGUCGUCGCAUUGGAAAGAUAACCGACAACUAUCAGGAGUCGAUUGGGCGUGAAGAAUUCGGACAAGUCUUCAAAGGAACUUGGCACGGACGUAAAGCAGCCGUCAAAGAAAUCCGCUCUCCUUGGCGUUGCAGCACAGUCGUCGAGGCUCGAUCGUUCGCCAAGAUGAUUCAACGAGAGGUUGAAGCCUUUUCAGCUGUCCAGCACCGCAAUAUUAUUGGACUGCUCGGUCUUUGCAUGGAUAACGGAUCGAGUGAUGGUGAAACAUCGAUUAGAGUCUCGCUCAUCUUUGAAUUCACCAACGGAGGGACUCUUUUCGACCAUCUUUUCGGCGACCAAGCAAAAAAUAGCAAAUUCAAAUUAGACGUGAAUCAAAUGAUGCUGAUCGCUCGCCAUCUCACCGCGAGACUCUCCAUCUACUGCAUUCCACUCAGCAGAAGCCGGGCGGUUCAGUUAUGGUCCACCGUGACGUGAAAUCCGCCAAUGUUUUACUGCAACGGGAUGACGAAGGAAGAGUCGUGCGAGCUGUUUUGGCCGAUUUAACGUCUUCAUUUGGAUCUUAACGAAAGUGGGAGCGGCUCUGGCCUAGCAGCCAGUUUCAUGACAGCCGUGGUAGGUACCCACGGCUGUGUCCAUCCUUUGUAUGCGGAGAGUUCAACCUACAGACGGGUUGGCCAGUUUGCACGUCCUUCACUCUUAAAGGUCGCGGGGAAUAUUACGUUAAACUGUCAAUGCGGUGAUGUAGAGGUUGGGUGAGGACGACACGUGUUGCAUCAUUAUCAAGCAGAUACAAAAGCCGCAAGGCUCAGCCAUUUGGUAUUCAUUUUGAUAUUGAUUGUUGUAGACCCUUCCCCAGCAACGUCAACCUAAAGAAGGGAAGGCAAGUUUCCAUUUUCUUCAAUUUUGAAGGUCACGGAGAUACCAUUACGUUAAACGUGUCAUGUGGAGUAGAGGUUGGGUGAGAACGGGAAGUGUUCCAUCAUUAUCAAGCAGGUCCAAUAGCCGCAAGGCUUAAUAGGUUAGGGUGAGAAAAAAAUCGUAUAUAAUGUGAGAGAAAAGGCGAUCUUAAGUAGUCGAGUGAGCACCUCCGACACGGCAACAACCGUAGCGCACUGUCACCAACUCCCUCCUUCCUCUCAUCGUACAACCAAUUCGCAAUCAUGGGAGAAAAAAGGCCAAAGAAAUCAGUCGAGCGAUCAUCUCCGACACGGCAAUAGCAACUGCAGUGCACUAUUUUUGUCAUCAAUUGAUUCUUCAUCAGUUCGUAAUCAUGGUUAAUUAUGGCGUUGUGCUGCUGUUGGGUGUUGUACCGUUGAUUCCUGAGUCGACCACGAGUAUACCGAUGUCUCCUGGAUACGGUGGCCCCGAGUUACUUCAUCAAAGCGCCCGAGUACUACACUGAGGCUCCCAAGUACUACACCAUCAAAGCUCCAGACUACUACACCGAGGCUCCAGUUUAUUACACCACUAAAGCAAUCGAAUACUACACCGAAGUGCCAAAGUACUACACUGCGAUCUACGCUGCCCCAGCUUACACCACCAAGGGACCGGAGUACUGCACCAUAUUACGCUGCUCCAGUUCACUACACCGCCCUGAGACGCAACCACAUCUGAGGCAGCCAGUAUUACUGCACAGCGGCUUCUUCUUAGUACUACAUUGAACCGGAAUACUACACUGAUGCUCCAGUUUACUACACCACAACCUACGUUACACCUAGAUGCUACACCGAAGCCCCCAAGUACUGCACCGGCAAGGCCGAAUAUUACACAACCACGUUUGCUGCCCCAGUCUACUACACCGAGAUACUCAAGUAUUUCUCUGCUCCAAGCAACUACCGAACAGUGGCUCCUGUUGACUACACCAUCUAUGCCCCGGGGUUUUACAGUACAACCUACGCUGCCCCCAUCUACACCACCAAGGCCCACACAACCAAGGCACCCGAGCUACUACUUAGGCUGCUCCGACCUUCUGCACCGGUAUUCCACUGCCCCGAGUUACUACACCACCAAGGCACUUGAAUGUUACAUCACAACCUACGCUUCUCCAGUUUACUACAUAAUGGUGAAGCCAGAAAUGGAAAUAGUUAACUAUCCGUGCUGUUUGGUGCAUCGUUGAUGGUCGAGUCGUCCACUGGUGUACGGAUGACCCCUGAGUGUGGCAGAUACCCAACCGCAACGCUACUGUCUUACUACACAACAAACAUACGCAAACAGUUCCUACACCCAAAAGGCCGUAUAUUACACAAGGGCGUAUGCUACACCAGUUUACUACACCGAGGAAUUCAAGUAUUGCUCUUCUCCGAGCAAACACCAAACAGAGGCUCCUGUUAACUACACUACCAUCGCCCUCGAGUGUUACACUACAACCUACGCUGCCCCCAACUACUACACUGUAGCUCCGAAGUGCUACACAUCAAUGCACAACCAAUUCGCAAUUGUUUAUUUUGACGUCGCGCUGCUGUUGGUUGUUCUAUCGUUGCUAAAGUGUUGACCACUGUACCGAACUCCACCGACUUUGGGGAGAGAAAAAAUCGGAUAAAAGAAGAGAGGAAAGGCGAUUUAUCAAUUGAAUGAGCAUCUCCUACCCGGCAGCAAUUGCAUUCUUCCAAUACUCAAUCAAAGGAGUACGACACCACCAAAGCAGCGGAGUACUACACCACCAAGGCAGCGGAGAACUACACCACCAAGGCAGCGGAGAACUACACCACCAAGGCAGCGGAGAACUACACCACCAAGGCAGCGGAGUACUACACCACCAAGGCAGCGGAGAACUACACCACCAAGGCAGCGGAGUACUACACCACCAAGGCAGCGGAGUACUACACCACCAAGGCAGCGGAGUACUACACCACCAAGGCAGCGGAGUACUACACCACCAAGGCAGCGGAGUACUACACCACCAAGGCAGCGGAGUACUACACCACCAAGGCAGCGGAGUACUACACCACCAAGGCAGCGGAGUACUACACCACCAAGGCAGCGGAGUACUACACCACCAAGGCAGCGGAGUACUACACCACCAAGGCAGCGGAGUACUACACCACCAAGGCAGCGGAGUACUACACCACCAAGGCAGCGGAGUACUACACCACCAAGGCAGCGGAGUACUACACCACCAAGGCAGCGGAGUACUACACCACCAAGGCAGCGGAGUACUACACCACCAUGUAUGCUGCCCUUGCCUUUUAGACCGAGGCUCCCAAGUACUACUCCGUUCCCAGCUACAACACCGAGGCUCCAGCUUUUUACACCACCAAAUCGGACAAAUAUUACACAGAAACGCCCUAGUACUAGUAUUUUGUCAACUUUGCGUCAGUUGUCUAUUGGUGUUGGAUUUCUUCAAGACCGGUAUGCUGAAUUGUGAAUUGUUUGUGUUAUAUUUUAGAGGUGACUACUGCCUUAUUCAUACGGACAUGUUCUUGUGGUUCGACGAUGAUAUUUCAAGGACUAGUUACGAGACAUUUGUAAUCUUAUAAGUAAUGGGAAAGUGGCUGACCUUUGUAAAAAUGAAAGACUUUGAAGUUGAGAGAAAUAUAUUGAUACAAUUUCAUAACAAAA